rnacentral:rRNA from 1 species
AUUGAACGCUGGCGGCAUGCCUAACACAUGCAAGUCGAGCGGUAGAGAGGUGCUUGCACCUCUUGAGAGCGGCGGACGGGUGAGUAAUGCCUAGGAAUCUGCCUGGUAGUGGGGGAUAACGCUCGGAAACGGACGCUAAUACCGCAUACGUCCUACGGGAGAAAGCAGGGGACCUUCGGGCCUUGCGCUAUCAGAUGAGCCUAGGUCGGAUUAGCUAGCUGGUGAGGUAAUGGCUCACCAAGGCGACGAUCCGUAACUGGUCUGAGAGGAUGAUCAGUCACACUGGAACUGAGACACGGUCCAGACUCCUACGGGAGGCAGCAGUGGGGAAUAUUGGACAAUGGGCGAAAGCCUGAUCCAGCCAUGCCGCGUGUGUGAAGAAGGUCUUCGGAUUGUAAAGCACUUUAAGUUGGGAGGAAGGGUCGUUACCUAAUACGUGACGAUUUUGACGUUACCGACAGAAUAAGCACCGGCUAACUCUGUGCCAGCCGCCGCGGUAACAC